UACGAAGGGGGCUAGCGUUGCUCGGAAUCACUGGGCGUAAAGCGCACGUAGGCGGAUCUUUAAGUCAGGGGUGAAAUCCCGAGGCUCAACCUCGGAACUGCCUUUGAUACUGGGGAUCUCGAGUCCGGGAGAGGUGAGUGGAACUGCGAGUGUAGAGGUGAAAUUCGUAGAUAUUCGCAAGAACACCAGUGGCGAAGGCGGCUCACUGGCCCGGUACUGACGCUGAGGUGCGAAAGCGUGGGGAGCGAACAGG
rnacentral:rRNA from 1 species